UGCGUAGGCGGCGCGGAAAGUUGGGUGUGAAAUCCCUCGGCUUAACCGAGGAACUGCGCCCAAAACUACCGUGCUCGAGGGAGAUAGAGGUGAGCGGAACUUAGGGUGGAGCGGUGAAAUGCGUUGAUAUCCUAAGGAACACCGGUGGCGAAAGCGGCUCACUGGAUCUCUUCUGACGCUGAGGCACGAAAGCUAGGGGAGCAAACG
rnacentral:rRNA from 1 species